ACGACGGGAGGGAUGAUGAAUGAACCCGACGUUCCCUCAGAUAUUGGCGACACCGUGAAGGCCGUCUGGCCUUUUUCACAAGCGUAACGUCGAUGCAAAUUCAUGGCUGUGGCGCUGAAUCACGCCCCCACAGCACGCUGCUCAGUCAGUUACUGCCCCCCCUCCCCCCUCGCAUACAUGAGACCAUGUUGGAGGCUACGGCUCCGGGAGCCAGUUGUCAUGUCACACCGUUCCGCUCCGUUGUAAUGAGUGAUACCACACCUCUCUCCGCGGAUCCGUCGCAAUAUAUAUGACAUCACACGGCCUCCUCUCGUUCCCUCCGGAUUCAAUUCCCUCCCCGUGCAAAGCCCACCCCCCUGCCCCCCCGUCCAAAGAUCGGACGGCUGUGCAGCCAACUCCGACAGGCCUGUGAAAGUCAUUCCGCCCCCUUCGACUUCCCGUUGACUUUGGUGUUAAAUCAGUGGAUUCCAGCACAUCAGCAGCUGUUGAAAUAAUCGAGGAGAAGAAGCCGACUAGAGAAAGAGGAGGAAACAGGAAGUGGACAUAGCGAUGCCGUGUUCAGUAACGAGUCACCAAUGACCCGAUGAUCACAUGAAGAUUGCGGGCUGAUAUCCGCCACGUCUGGCAUAUGACAUCUAAAGGACGGAUGGACGCUCCGUUACCUCGAAGCGCCUCUCAGGUGUUUGUCUUUCUCAUCGCCGUUCAUAGCGAAGAUCUAAGCACGAGAUUUCUUCACCACAAUGAAACACUAUACUGUCUGUUGCCUCCCCGCCUGAAGAUAUAGAGGCUUGGAUAUAAAAAAAAAAACGGAUUAAACAGCUUGUCACGACAUACUGUUGUCUUGGUAAACGUAAUACAUCAUGUUGAACAGCCUGUGCACUUCUCCCUCCACCAUAUUGUGUUCUCGCGUUCCUUGAAUGCUUGAUCUGAGUUCUUCUGUCACUCAUCAAACAGUAAGUCCACAGCACAAAACGUCGCAUUGUGAAACUUCCACAGCUGCGCGACUUCUAAUCUUUCACCUCUGUCAUCCUCAGUUUUCUAUGCCGCAACGCCACGAGGAUUUUUGUAUUUUUUUGUAGGAGGUUCAAGCGUCCGAUUGGGAUGUCUCCUGACAUCCUUCUUCCAGAGGUUCUCCAGGCGUGUCCAACGGUAACGAGGGGCCCGGGGCAUCGGGCCUGAGGACAUCCUGGAGCUGUAGGACGUGUGGACCACAACAGACCAGAAUAGCAACCACAAUCAGAACAUCCAGCAUGACAGCCGUGGCAGACGCUCGCCAGUCCGCCUGUACUAAUUGGCCGGCUUACAUGCUGUUAUUUCCACCUCUGUAUAAAAAGCCUAUUUUUUCUCUGGGUUUCGCCGAAAGCCUUUAGGGGAACAGGAAGUCACAAGCUGGAGCAGAAGUCGAUGGCGGUCGGCGUAAAACGGGUCCCCCAUAGAAGCGGCAUAGCUACAAUCACAGGAACGUCACCUGUUGAUGAUGAUUGACAGUGUAAGAAUACCUGAGGGUGGAUUAUUCCGUUACAAGAUAAUGCCCAGUGAUGCCGGCGCAGCCGCCAUUAAAGAUGCAUCAGCCAGGUUUGUUUGAUCCGGCUGGGAUUUGAUGGUGAAACGUCUUUGUUGUACUUGUGGCGGGAGGUCCUCGGCAUCUCCACAUCCAGCUGUGAUAUUGUAUUUGCUGUGUUGUUGUAAUGGAGAGCACAUGUAACCGGAGUUAAUGCAUAAGCAUAAAAAGAGAAUAAAGCUUUAGAUUCUGAGUCACAUUCAAUAAGUCUGCUGUUAUCCAAGCAAAGGUUUUUCACUAAUGGAUUCAGUAUUUCAUAAGUUUGAAACCGUUUUGAGAACCCUAAAUAAAUUACACCUUUUGAUAGUGUUGACAUUAUACAUUUCGAUGCAAAAUAAAGGCGAAUAUAAUCCCAAAAGUAUCCAUAAUAUAACCUAGCCUGCCAUUCUACUACAAUAUGAAUAUCUCAAUAUGCUAAACAACCGUAAUUAUUUAAACCCUCGCCUGUUGCAGUCAUCGACCGCCUUUAUGCCAUUCCUCGGAUAUGAGAGGUCCCUUCCCUUCGCUCUCAAUAUCUAUUGAUUUUCUCUUCAUGGAUCUCAACAUAGGUUGUAUGGGGCACUCUGCGUGUGUUAUUGUGAAGGUACAUGCAGCUUCCAUCAUGUUUAAUGGAUGUUAACACGGUUUAUAAGGGAAGAGGGUCUGCUGAAGCCGACGUGGCACAUGCCGCCUGCUGUAAAAGAAGUACAAUAAAAUAGUGAAAAUGUUCUUGCGGAAGGUCCGUCUAAUGCGUUCACUGUGUUGAACUGAAGACGGUUGCGGCGCGGGCUACUGCUGUUACCAGGGAGACGCCUGAUGACAGCGGCGAUCAGUGUCAACCUGAUAGCUUUAAAUAAAUGAUUCUCCCAUCAGUCACAAAGAGCUCGGCCCAGUCCUACAGAUGUCAUUCCCAGUAUCAGAAGAACAAGAACAUAAAACUUUAGUUGACGGUGUGUUGCUCUUUAAAAUCAUGAGUUGGUUAUUUUGGGUACACUCAACUUAUAAUCAAUGAUAUUAAAGAUACAAUGUUUUUAACAAAAGGGUCACACAGCUGGAACAUAGAAAACCAAGCUCAUGUAUUUAGUAAAUCUGAAUGUAAUGGAUUUAUUGGAAAGGAUAUUAAUCACACAUGAACUCGUCCUGAUACGACGUGCCACAAUUCUCUGGGAAACUUAACUGUAAUUUAAAUGAAAUAAAAACCCUAAGCAUUGAAAAAAGGUAGUUAUUAAUGUAUGUUAAUUUCGUUUACAUUAUGCUUUAAUGAACAUAAUAAUGUAGUAUAACAGACCUGGCUGUAAUAAGUAUAUUAGCUUUGCAAACACAAUUAUCAUUGUAUUUUUAUUCAUAUGUAUUUUUGAGAUACUCAUUGUUCUGAAACCGUGAUUGUCGAUGUUUUUAUUGAAUGGCAUCAUAACAAAAACGCUAUGUUGUUGGCCACGUUACCAUGAACAGAAACCAAUUAGGUUGCAGUUUUCUAUUUUCGGAGCAAACAAAAGGCCUCGGACAAACGUUGUUGAACUGCUCUAAGACAAAUAACCUCAUUAAAACGAGAUGGUUCUCAUACGAAAGGCUGGAGAUCGGUCUUGCUUAGCCGACUACAUAAAGAGGCUCCUUCAGGCCCAAAAUGCUUCACUGGUUUGACUCUCCUUGGCAGCACAGCCUGAUGUUUAAUCAGAGGAGGCUUUUUGACCUGCUGGGAAGGUGUUGUUGAUGAAAUGACAGUGAUGAAUUACCUCCAUGCGCUGUGACCCCAGGUGGUACAUUCACACAUCCGUAAUUCAAUAUUCCCUUCUUUUUUGUUUUUUUAAAUGAUGUCUUUUUUUUGCCCAGGAUGCAUUGAAGGUGGAUGAAUCCAGGUGACUCUAAUCAAUAAAAAAAUCAACUUUUGGCAA